GCGGGUGUAGCAUAGUGGUAAUGCACCGGCUUCCCAAGCCGGCAAGGAGGGUUCGAUUCCCUUCACCCGCUCCA
rnacentral:tRNA from 1 species